rnacentral:lncRNA from 1 species
GAAGCUCAAGCGGAGCCCGCUGGCCGCAGGGGCCGCACCACGCCCCAGACCCUGGAGUUUCCGGGUGCGCAGACCCUUGCCAUCAGCAGAGGCUGCCGCUGCGCGUCCCCUAGGCGCGGAAGAGGCGGCUGGUGGUCCCUGACGGCAAGGUUUUAUACAUUACGAAUAAAGCUGGCACGUUUCCAUUUCUCCUGGGCAAAUAUUUAGAAGAAAAGUUGCUGGGUAAUUGGUGGAGACAAGGUUUCGCCACAUUGACUGGGCUGGUCUGGAACUCCUGAGCUCAAGCAACCGGCCCUCCUUGACCUCCCAAAGUGCUAGGAUUACAGGUGUGAACCACCGUGCCCGGCCCUACUUUCUAUCGAAGUAGAAUAGGUAGAUCACAUUAUUAUUAACAGUAUAUGGGAAGAGGGAGGUCCUCCCAUGUUACAUUGUUCUCCCUUCACCUUCUGGGUCAUGUUGCACCACUGUUUCCCUUCUAGUCAUAUCCCAGGGGGCCUUGUCCCAUUUAUACAGCUCUAUUCUAGUGGUCACCAGAGGAAUGGGAGUAAUCUGAUUGAAAGAUAAGACAGAAGAUUGUACUCUCUUUUUUUUUUUUUUGAGACAGAGUCACCCAGGCUGGAAUGCAGUGGCAUUGUCAUGGCUCACCGCAGUCUCAAACUCCUGGGCCCAAGUGAUCCUCCCACUCAGCCUCCUGAGUAGCUGGGACUAGAGGCACAUGCAACCACAUGCAGCUAUUUUUUUUUAAAUUUUCUGUAGAGACAGGGUCUCACUGUGUUGCUCAGUUUGUCUCAAACUCCUGGGCUCAAGUGAUCCUCCUGCCUUGGCCUCACAAAGUACUAGGAUUACAGGCAUGAGUCACCACACUCAGCUGAACUCUACUCUUUAUGUUCAGGAAAGCACUGGAGAAGAGAGAGGACAAGAGAAACAGGUCCGUAGUGACAGGAGCCUAGGAAUAGAGCAGGCCUUCAGUCUUGGUGAAAAAAUAAAUGGUAUUCUAAGCCUUC